AUUGAACGCUGGCGGCAGGCCUAACACAUGCAAGUCGAACGGUAAGGCCCUUCGGGGUACACGAGUGGCGAACGGGUGAGUAACACGUGAACAACCUGCCCUUGACUCUGGGAUAACAGUUGGAAACAGCUGCUAAUACCGGAUACGAGCCUGCAAGACAUCUUGCGGGCUUGAAAGCUCCGGCGGUCAAGGGUGGAUUCGCGGCCUAUCAGCUUGUGGUGAGGUAACGGCUCACCAAGGCUUCGACGGGUAGCCGGCCUGAGAGGGCGACCGGCCACACUGGGACUGAGAUACGG
rnacentral:rRNA from 1 species